CAUGUUUAAGAGCCAUGAAAGCAAAGGGUUAAUAUUAUCAAAGAAAUAUUAUCAAAUAUUGACCCUUUGCUUUCAUGGCUCUUAAACAUA